rnacentral:lncRNA from 1 species
CACUAUUUCCGUCUUACAGAAGGGGAAGCUAGGAUUGAGAAAGGUUAAGUAAUCUGCUUGAGAUCACACAGAAAUUUGGGGACAGAGCUGCAAUUAGAAAGAACUCAGGGCCACGGAACUCUGCAGUCUCUUCCACUGAAUGUUGGGAAUCCCAGACUAAAUUCUUUUUUUUUUUUUUGAGGAAGAUUAGCCCUGAGCUGACUACUGCUACUCCUCCUCUUUUUUGCUGAGGAAGACUGGCCCUGAGCUAACAUCCAUGCCCAUCUUCCUCUACUUUAUACGUGGGACGCCUACUACAGCAUGGCUUUUGCCAAGUGGUGCCAUGUCCGCAUCCCGGAUCCGAACUGGUGAACCCUGGGCCACCGAGAAGCGGAACAUGAGAACUUAACCGCUGCACCACUGGGCUGGCCCCCCAGCCUAAAUUCUAACUUGGGACGCCUCCUCUCAUUUCCUCUAUCUUCAUGUUCACUUCCCCCACACCUCUCCACGUCCUGUCCUCAUCCGUUCCUGGAAGGGUAACUCCUCAACACUCUGCCUCCAACCAGCUGGGCAGUGGAGGGAGACCCAGAGCCCUCCCUCCGGCAUGGGAAACACCCAGGCACCCCCCAGGAACAGGGAGGGGAUGGUGCCAGACGGGGAGAAGGUGCUUUCUUGAAGUGACAUUCUUACUCUGACCUGGCUGCUUCCCUGACUCAGGGUUCCUAACAGGACAAUGCCGGCCAUUUUUUUUUUUUUUGUAAGGAAGAUUGUCACUGAGCUAACAUUUGUGCCAAUCUUCCUCUGUUUUGUAUGCGGGAUGCUGCUGCUACAGCAUGGCUUGAUGAGUGAUGUGUAGGUCUGUGUCGGGAAUUUGAACCUGCGAACCCUGGGCUGCUGAAGCAGAGCACGUGAACUUAACCACUACGCCACAAUGCUGGCCUUUGAUGGGCUGUCCCUGGCACUUUGGAUGGUUCCCCCCAGGUCCCAGCCAGGCCUGCCUCCCACUGUUCUCAUCAUGAUCUUCUCCUGCCAGACACUCCCCAGCUUACCACGGUUCGACUUAUGAUUUCUCAACUUUAUGAUGGUGCGAAAGUGACACGCAUUCAGUAGAGACUAUACUUUGAAUUUUGAAUGUUGAUCUUUUCCUGGGCUGGCGAUACACAGUGUGAUCCUCUCUCGUGACGCUGGCAGUGGCAGCAGCCGCAGCUCCCGGUCGGCCACGCCACCAGGAGGGUGAACAACCCAGACACUGACAGCCAUUCUGCAUCCACACAGCCAUGCCGUUGUUCGCUUUCAUACAGUAUCCAAUAAACUGCGUGAGACAGUCUGCACUGUAUUAUAAAAUAGGCCCUGUGUGAGAUGAUCUUCCCCCACUGUAGGCUCGUGUAAGCGCUCUGAGCGUGUGUAAGCUAGGCUGGGCUAGGCUUGAUGUUCGUAGGUUAGGUGUAUCCAAUGCAUUUUCUUUUCUUUCUUUUUUUUUUUUUUAAGUAUUUUAAAAGCCUCUGGUAAUUGAGAAUUGGGGAUGGGUGGAGCAGGGGAGGGAUUUUUUUUUUUAAGAUUGGCACCUAAGCUAACAUCUGUCGCCAAUCCUUCUUUUCCCCCUUUUUUCUUCUUCUUCUUCUCCCCAAAGCCCCCCAGUGCAUAGUUGUAUACCGUAGCUGUAGGUCCUUCUGGUUGUGCUACGUGGGAGGCUGCCUCACUGUGGCCUGAUGAGCAGUGCUGGGUCCACAUCCAGGAUCCGAACCAGUGAAACCCUGCGGAGUGUGUGAACUUAACCACUCGGCCACGGGGCCGGCCCCUGCAUUUUCAACUUAGGAUAUUUUCAACUUAAUGAUGGGUUUAUUG